rnacentral:rRNA from 1 species
UUCGGAUUGGAGUCUGCAACUCGACUCCAUGAAGCUGGAUUCGCUAGUAAUCGCGAAUCAGCCGUGGCGCGGUGAAUACGUUCCCGGGCCUUGUACACACCGCCCCGUCAAGCCAUGGAAGCCGGGGGGUGCCUGAAGUGCGUGACCGCAAGGAGCGCCCUAAGGUAAAACCGGUGACUGGGGCUAAGUCGUAACAAGGUACC